UACGUACGGUGCGGGCGUUGUCCGGAUUUAUUGGGCGUAAAGAGCUCGUAGGCGGUUUGUCGCGUCGGCCGUGAAAUCUCCACGCUUAACGUGGAGCGUGCGGUCGAUACGGGCAGACUUGAGUUCGGUAGGGGAGACUGGAAUUCCUGGUGUAGCGGUGAAAUGCGCAGAUAUCAGGAGGAACACCGGUGGCGAAGGCGGGUCUCUGGGCCGAUACUGACGCUGAGGAGCGAAAGCGUGGGGAGCGAACAGG
rnacentral:rRNA from 1 species